GAUCAUGGCUCAGGAUGAACGCUAGCUACAGGCUUAACACAUGCAAGUCGAGGGGCAUCAGGGUGUAGCAAUACACCGCUGGCGACCGGCGCACGGGUGAGUAACACGUAUCCAACCUGCCCUUUACUCGGGGAUAGCCUUUCGAAAGAAAGAUUAAUACCCGAUGGCAUGACAUGACCUCCUGGUUUUGUUAUUAAAGAAUUUCGGUAGAGGAUGGGGAGUGCGUUCCAUUAGGCAGUUGGCGGGGUAACCGGG
rnacentral:rRNA from 1 species